CUGAUAAUUGACUUGGGGAAGACCAACUUCACGGAGGUCAACUUAUGGAUCCAAAACAUGUUAUCUCUUUUCAAUUUAUGCGUGAGCUGUAUCCCACUCCUCGAAUGAAUCUAUAGGACUUUUUUAAUAGGAAAUCUUUACGCACACAUGCGUCGAACGACGAACGCCCGGCUAUAAAAAGUGCAGGUGUUGGCAUUCAUGCAGUAUUGGUCGAAACGAGUUACGCGGCAAAUCAUCGAUUAUAUCUGCAGUUCAACAAUUUUCAACAAAGUUUAACCAAACAUUGAACGUGUCAUACAAUCGAGUGUCGACAAACGAAACGAGUGAUUUUUGAAAAACGACAAGAAUCAUAUCUUACAAGCAUUUUACAAGAAGAAAUCAUUGAAUCACAAUGUACAACGUACAGAAUAAAACUGCAAUGAUCACUGGAGCGGCUACUGGAAUAGGCUACAAGUGUGCCAAAAUAUUGCUUCGCAAUGGUGCAAAAAAGGUUGCCAUAGUCGAUUUAUCAACAUCGGAAGGUCAGAAUGCGGCGGCUACCUUGGAAAAUAAAUUUGGAAAAGAUCGUGCCGUCUUUAUUGCCUGUGACGUGUCAAAGAACGAUGACUUAAAAAAGACAUUUGAGAAGAUUGUCGAUUUAUUUGAAGGGCUCGACAUUUUGAUUAACAACGCCGGUAUAGUCAAUGAUGUGCUUUGGAAAGAAACAAUUGAAAUUAAUUUCAAUGCGGUAGUCUAUGGAUCUAUGUUGGCGUUUGACUAUAUGGGAAAACACAAAGGCGGCAAGGGCGGGGUAAUUGUGAACAUGUCAUCCGUAGCCGGAUUAGACCCAAAAUCUCUUUUUCCAAUAUAUUCCGCUACAAAGCAUGCUGUUUUGAGCUUCAGCCAAUCUUUGGCAAAAACAUACAAUAAAUCUGGAGUAAGAGUCGUUGUUAUGUGCCCGGGGGGUACAAUAACAAAAGUAGUCGGCAUAAAUGUAAAAGCUAAAAUGUCCGAUUCUAUUAAAUCUACGAUAGGCAAUAGUUUCUACACUUCUAUAACAAAAGGAGUGUUCACGAUGCAAACACCCGAACAUGUAGCACUUGCAAUGCUAGAACUUAUUCAGAAGGGUGAAUCCGGAGCGGUUUGGGUCAGCGAAAAUCGUCAGCCGCCAUACGCCGUAGACUUUCCUCAUUAUUCCAAGCGAUCUCGACCUAUAUAAAGACGGUUCGUUAAAAGAAGGAAGAGCUACCUUGCGCAUGAAAAUGACUUUGAAGGAAGAGAAGCAAGGUUCUGUUGCAUACAGGAUAAAAUAUUUGUCACACCACCGAACUGGUAACAAAUGUGUAUUUAUCUCACUUACGAUUGCACCCAUUGCUUGUGCAACUGCAUUGAAAAUAUUACAUUCCCCAUAGAGGUGAAUGAAUUUGGCGUCAACAAUGUGAAAGAUUUAAUACCAAAUAGACGUAAUAUAGUCCCUCCGUAACAGAGCAGAUCUCCGUAGGUCGUCCCCUGGAUAAAGUGUGCUGUUAGGAAUUAUUGUUACAGAAGAGACCAAACUCGAAUAUAUUAGGUCAAAUGAAAAUGACUGGAGCAAUU